GCCGAUGUGGCGGAAUAGGCAGACGCGCUAGACUCAAAAUCUGGUGCCCGCAAGGGCUUGGGGGUUCGAUUCCCUCCAUCGGCACCA
rnacentral:tRNA from 2 species